rnacentral:sRNA from 1 species
GUGAAAGCUUUGGAGACUGAAAUCUUCUCUUUAUCUACAGUAAAGAUACAGAACAGGCCAUGUUUUAUGCACCACCCUGCCAAUAUGUACCAACUCUGAGCUGGAAAGACAACAUUACCUCUCUGGAUAAAGAGAGAGUUCAGACUCCCAGCCCAUUCAUUCCUUAGUCACU